rnacentral:rRNA from 1 species
GACGAACGCUGGCGGCGUGCUUAACACAUGCAAGUCGAACGGAAAGGCCCUGCUUGCAGGGUACUCGAGUGGCGAACGGGUGAGUAACACGUGGGUGAUCUGCCCUGCACUUCGGGAUAAGCCUGGGAAACUGGGUCUAAUACCGGAUAGGAGCCAUUUUUAGUGUGAUGGUUGGAAAGUUUUUUCGGUGUAGGAUGAGCUCGCGGCCUAUCAGCUUGUUGGUGGGGUAAUGGCCUACCAAGGCGGCGACGGGUAGCCGGCCUGAGGGGGUGGACGGCCACAUUGGGACUGAGAUACGGCCCAGACUCCUACGGGAGGCAGCAGUGGGGAAUAUUGCACAAUGGGCGCAAGCCUGAUGCAGCGACGCCGCGGGGGGGAUGACGGCCUUCGGGUUGUAAACUCCUUUCGCUAGGGACGAAGCUUUUUGUGACGGUACCUAGAGAAGAAGCACCGGCUAACUACGUG